rnacentral:rRNA from 1 species
GAUGAACGCUGGCGGCGUGCCUAAUACAUGCCAGUCGAGCGAACGGACGAGAAGCUUGCUUCUCUGAUGUUAGCGGCGGACGGGUGAGUAACACGUGGAUAACCUACCUAUAAGACUGGGAUAACUUCGGGAAACCGGAGCUAAUACCGGAUAAUAUUUUGAACCGCAUGGUUCAAAAGUGAAAGACGGUCUUGCUGUCACUUAUAGAUGGAUCAGCGCUGCAUUAGCUAGUUGGUAAGGUAACGGCUUACCAAGGCAACGAUGCAUAGCCGACCUGAGAGGGUGAUCGGCCACACUGGAACUGAGACACGGUCCAGACUCCUACGGGAGGCAGCAGUAGGGAAUCUUCCGCAAUGGGCGAAAGCCUGACGGAGCAACGCCGCGUGAGUGAUGAAGGUCUUCGGAUCGUAAAACUCUGUUAUUAGGGAAGAACAUAUGUGUAAGUAACUGUGCACAUCUUGACGGUACCUAAUCAGAAAGCCACGGCUAACUACGUG